rnacentral:rRNA from 1 species
CCUACGGGCGGCAGCAGUGGGGAAUAUUGGACAAUGGGGGCAACCCUGAUCCAGCCAUGCCGCGUGUGUGAAGAAGGCCCUCGGGUUGUAAAGCACUUUCAGUGAGGAAGAACGCCUGGUGGUUAAUACCCAUCAGGAAAGACAUCACUCACAGAAGAAGCACCGGCUAACUCCGUGCCAGCAGCCGCGGUAAUACGGAGGGUGCGAGCGUUAAUCGGAAUUACUGGGCGUAAAGCGCGCGUAGGGGGCUUGAUAAGCCGGUUGUGAAAGCCCCGGGCUCAACCUGGGAACGGCAUCCGGAACUGUCAAGCUAGAGUGCAGGAGAGGAAGGUAGAAUUCCCGGUGUAGCGGUGAAAUGCGUAGAGAUCGGGAGGAAUACCAGUGGCGAAGGCGGCCUUCUGGACUGACACUGACACUGAGGUGCGAAAGCGUGGGUAGCAAACAGGAUUAGAUACCCUAGUAGUC